UACGAAGGGGGCUAGCGUUGCUCGGAAUCACUGGGCGUAAAGCGCACGUAGGCGGACUCUUAAGUCGGGUGGUGAAAUCCUGGAGCUCAACUCCAGAACUGCCUUCGAUACUGGGAGUCUCGAGUCCGGGAGAGGUGAGUGGAACUGCGAGUGUAGAGGUGAAAAUUCGUAGAUAUUCGCAAGAACACCAGUGGCGAAGGCGGCUCACUGGCCCGGUACUGACGCUGAGGUGCGAAAGCGUGGGGGAGCAAACAGG
rnacentral:rRNA from 1 species